rnacentral:lncRNA from 1 species
CCUGCCUUACAGAAUGCUGUCAUUACUAAAGUGAGACUGAUAACUUUGAUGAUGGUUCUGAUGGAAUUCCAGGCAGGAGUUAUUCAAAUAGAAACCCAUGAGAUAAAAGAUUAUUUCACUGGUUAAGAAUAAGAAGGAAAUAUGCCAUGUUGGGUUAAGGACAGCUUCUGAGGGCUUCUUAAAAGUUUUCUCUUUAUAUACUACUGACCUAAAGUCAUUUCACCUCCAAGUAUUUAGAAGGGACUCUCAGGAAACACUACCUAAAUUCUUUCCUAAUUUUGUGAGAAAGGGAGAUAAAGGUCUUACCCGAAUCUCAGAGUCCUCUUUAACUUAAUGAGCAGCUCCCCAUUCUGCCUCUGGCACUUUCUGCUGCUUUUCUU